AUGCUCUCUGUGGCAGCACAUAUAUUAAAUUGGAAAGAUACAGAAAAGAUUAGCAUGGUCCCUAUACUAGGAUAACACACAAAUUUGUGAAGCAUUCCAUAUUAAA
rnacentral:snRNA from 1 species